rnacentral:tRNA from 1 species
AAGACUACUUAAAAGGCUGCUAACCUUUAAACAAUGAAAACAUUUAGUCUUU